UCUGAAGGCUAUUAAUUUGUUCCUUGCUGGCAGAGAUUUCUGUUUUUCUUUUUCUUUCCUUCUACGAUGACCAUGAAGCUGAUCAGUACGAGAUAAUGGUCAUUUCUUCAAAAUGACAGCUUACUUUAAUCUGUCUUUCCGACCCUUGUGGAGACAUCCUGGGAUGUAUCUGCCCUUCCCAAGGAGCUCUCUCACCACAGGAAAAUAAGCAGGGCUAUAGCAGGCUCGGAACAGCACCCCAGAGGCAAUUUAUUCAUUGCGCCAGGUCUACCUUUCUGCAUGGACAAUACUCAGACUGCAUAAGUAUGUCCCAACAUUUUAAGCAGCCACAACUGCCAUUACUUCUGCCCACAAGGGAGAGAGCAGUGGUGAAGGCGCAUGGAAAGGCUAUCUCUGCCUGCAGUGUGAGGCUGCAGACUGAUCCGAUAACAUAACACCAUGGAUUCUGUAUCCACGAGGCUGCCCAAAGUUAUUCUCUGUUUGCACUGUUAAGGUGCUCCAGCUAAGCUUUUAACUGUGAGUAUGUCAGAGGUUGCAUGAAACCACUUUUCUGCUCCACACUCCCUCUCCUUGAAUGGAGUAUUAUGGGGGAACUUGCAUCACAGGAG
rnacentral:lncRNA from 1 species